CAGUAGCCGCGGGAACACGUAGGGUGCAAGCGUUAAUCGGAAUUACUGGGCGUAAAGCGUGCGCAGGCGGUUAUAUAAGACAGAUGUGAAAUCCCCGGGCUCAACCUGGGAACUGCAUUUGUGACUGUAUAGCUAGAGUACGGCAGAGGGGGAUGGAAUUCCGCGUGUAGCAGUGAAAUGCGUAGAUAUGCGGAGGAACACCGAUGGCGAAGGCAAUCCCCUGGGCCUGUACUGACGCUCAUGCACGAAAGCGUGGGGAGCAAACAGGAUUAGAUACCCCUGUAGUCCCUGUCCUUAUACC
rnacentral:rRNA from 1 species